GAUGAACGCUGGCGGCGUGCCUAAUACAUGCAAGUCGAGCGAACGGACGAGAAGCUUGCUUUUCUGAUGUUAGCGGCGGACGGGUGAGUAACACGUGGAUAACCUACCUAUAAGACUGGGAUAACUUCGUGAAACCGGAGCUAAUACCGGAUAAUAUUUUGAACCGCAUGGUUCAAAAGUGAAAGACGGUCUUGCUGUCACUUAUAGAUGGAUCCGCGCUGCAUUAGCUAGUUGGUAAGGUAACGGCUUACCAAGGCAACGAUGCAUAGCCGACCUGAGAGGGUGAUCGGCCACACUGGAACUGAGACACGGUCCAGACUCCUACGGGAGGCAGCAGUAGGGAAUCUUGCGCAAUGGGCGAAAGCCUGACGGAGCAACGCCGCGUGAGUGAUGAAGGUCUUCGGAUCGUAAAACUCUGUUAUUAGGGAAGAAAAUAUGUGUAAGUAACUAUGCACAUCUUGACGGUACCUAAUCAGAAAGCCACGGCUAACUACGUG
rnacentral:rRNA from 1 species